UUGACUUCUUGGCCUUUUGGCUGGGAUCAAGUGGAUUCUCUGUUCUUAUCAACUUAGUGUGUGUUGUGUCCUCUCCAAGGACAAACAAAUUAAAUAGGUUUUUGGAGCAGAACGACAGAAUGGAGUAUAUUCAUUCCACUCAUCGGUCUGGGGUGUGAUUUCUCCUGAAAUGGUCCACGCCUU